rnacentral:rRNA from 1 species
AAAACGACUCUCGGCAACGGAUAUCUCGGCUCUCGCAUCGAUGAAGAACGUAGCGAAAUGCGAUACUUGGUGUGAAUUGCAGAAUCCAGCGAACCAUCGAGUCUUUGAACGCAAGUUGCGCUCGAAGCCUUCGGGCUAAGGGCACGUCUGCCUGGGU